CAGUGCCCAACCACCCUCUGGGGAGGAAGAACCUUUCCCUGAGAUCCAUCCCAAACCUCCCCUGGCACAACUCUGGGUGUUCCCUGACCCCACAGGACUCUGCUCCAGGAUAAAGCCCCAUGUCCAGCAGUGCCCUGGGGCAGCUCAGUGCUCCUGGAGCUGUGUGGAGGAGGAGGAGGAGGAGGAGAAGGAGGAGGAGGAGGAGGAGGAGAGCCACGGCCACCUCCCAUGGAGGAACCACCUCCAACCUCCUGGAGGAACCAUUCCCCAACCCCUGGUACCAGGGGAAGAAGUUUUGGGAUCACAAAUUGACCCCAAAGAGAGAGACAAAGCAGCGGGUGGGGAUUAUUUCACCCCCCACACUUCAGGUUUGAAGCCUUUAAAUCAACCCUUGGAAAAGCAGCUGGGACAGAUUAUGGGCCCUGACCUGGGGCUGGUGUUUAUACCAAAAGAAAGGAGCCGUGAUAAAAGAGGGCAGGGGAGCCCCGACCUGCUCCAGGGCUUGUUUACAUCUCCUCAAGAGCAAAACUUCCCCCCCUUGGUGGGCGGCAGCAAAUCCUCCCUCCCCCAUCGCCUGUUUGACUUCCCCGGGUGUGAAAAACACGGGGAGAGACAUCAACAGAGCCGGGCAAGGAGCUUUUGUGGGGCGUUUGUGCUGACCUGGGGGCUCGGGGAGUGCAUUGUUUGGUGUUGUUUGGUGUUGAGGUCGCCAGGGUGAAAAUCAUCCCGGUGCUUGGCUGCAUCCACACCCUCCUGCCUGGCUGGGACUGGCUUUGCAGGAGGCAGAAUUUGGAAGUUCCUGGCUGUGUUUUUCCAUUUCCCUGGGAUGUGUUCAGCUCCUGGGGUCUCUGUUCCGUUCCCAAGUCCUGGUUGGAGAAGGAGGCAGCAACUGAUGGUUGGGGCAGCUGCUCAGGGGGUGUGAGGGGUGGAGGAUGUGAUGCCACCUGAGCUCGGAUCCGCUGCUGAUCCAUGUCCCCAAGUGCCACAUCCACACAUUUAUUGGACACUUCCAGGGUUGUCACUUCCCCACUGCCAGGGCUGGACAACCCCUUCAGUGAAGAAAUGCUCCUGAUAUCCAAUCCAACCAAGAAAUUCUCCCUAAUAACCCAUCUACUCCAAUAAUCCAAACUUUCCACACGAAACCCCCCGGUGCAAAGUGGAUCCUUUCCCUUCAGGAGAUGCUUCAGCUCCCGGAUUAAGGCAGAGCCUGGGCAGAAGGUUUCCAGCUCUGACUUUCACCCCUGGGACUGAAUUUCAACAGCAAAGAUGACAGAAAAAGCAGUGUCUGCCCAGGGAAAUCCGAUUUUUCCAUGCCUCCUUCCUACCUGGAGACUCCAAGGAGAGUUGCCUCAAAGAGAAACACCAGACACUUUGGAUUGAGGCAUGAGGGGAAGGUGGGAGCACAGGGAAUUCGUGGCCAGGAGCAGGGAGAUGCUGGCUCCCAUUCCCAGCCUGGAAUCACUCCUGGCUCCGACUCUGUGGCACCCACCUGGGAGCGAUCAGGGAGCUGCCACAGGCUCUGGAUGUGCUCUCUCCAUGGCACUGUUGGGUGCUGGGGGUGUUCCCCCCCUCCCUGCUGAACUGUCACAGCCAGGCUGGAAUCAGAAGGGUUUGGGGUUGUGCCAGCCUGUGCAAGGAGCUGCCCUGAAUCAACUCUCCGGGCAGAUGGACUCGUGUGGGACUCGUAAAACCCCGAGCACCUUCUUGGCAGAGUCACAGUAAAUAAGACAGGCCUGGGAGGGAAAGCACCAGCUCCAUCUUGCUGGGAAAUGGGGCUUCAGCUUCAUCCAGUUUUUGGCCUCCCAAAUCCAGUAGAGCUCUCCAGGAGCAGGACAUCCAUGGACAGCACCACGGCACAGGGUGUCACUGCCCAAAUCUGCUUUCUCCUGGCGAGCAGAGCCUGCAGCUGGACACCUGGAAUCUCCUGGGAGCAGCUCAUCCAAAGGAUGCUUUCGGAAGGUGUGGCCAGUGUCUGGGAAAAAGGCACCAUCGUCGUGUUUGGACGAGACCUCCCCAUCCCACCCCCUGAAGUGUUUAGGAUUCCCACUGGAUCCACUUUGCCUAUGGAUGAUCAUCUCCCAAAACAUCUCUGCUCUUGGAAAGCCUCAACAGAAUGUUCUGCAAGAGCUGAGCAGAGAGCAGUUGGAGACCACAGCUGUGAGUGUCCGGGCAGAGCUCCCUGAUCCAUCGUGGUGGAUCGACGGUGCUCUGAAGGUGAAUGGUCUCAGCCGUCCAACUGCCACAGAAUCCCAGGAUCACUGAGGUUGGAAAAGAUCUCCAGGACCCCUGUGCCUUGUCCCCACCCUGUCCCC